CUCUAUAGCCAUGCCACCCUGAAUGUGCCCGAUCUUGUCUGAUCUUGGAAGCUAAGCAGGGUCAGCCCUGGUUAGUACUUGGAUGGGAGACCACCUAAGAAUACCAGCUGCUAUAGGCA
rnacentral:rRNA from 1 species